rnacentral:rRNA from 1 species
UACGGGGGGGGCAAGCGUUGUUCGGAAUUACUGGGCGUAAAGGGUUCGUAGGUGGCCCGCUAAGUCAGACGUGAAAUCCCUCAGCUCAACUGGGGAACUGCGUCUGAGACUGGCGGGCUUGAGUGCAGGAGAGGAACGCGGAAUUCCAGGUGUAGCGGUGAAAUGCGUAGAUAUCUGGAGGAACACCGGUGGCGAAGGCGGCGUUCUGGACUGUUACUGACACUGAGGAACGAAAGCCAGGGGAGCAAACGGGA